CGGCAGCUCUAUCUAGGGGUGGUAUGAGAUGGAAGGGACAAGCCUCUGCUGGGCUUGAUACAGGGGUUGAGGCUCGACCUGGGUAUUGAAAGAUGGUCACAUGUUUCCCCACGUAAACGGGCCCAGAGAGCAAGCGUGCAAAGGCCCAAAGGGACCAACCAGCAUGGAGUGUUUGGGGAAUGGCGAGGAGCUUCUGUAUGGCCGGGCCAGGGGGAAGUCUGAAAGGGGAGGCAGGCACUGUAAGAGACAGGACUGGUAGGGCUGCAAAGGCUAGAUCCCCAAACAUCUUGUGGGUUUGGCCAAGGAGUCUGGUCCAGAAUAGAAAUUCCUGGAUAUAGCCACCAGCAACCUGUUUGACCAUGCUUCCUGUUUCACAGCGGAGGCUGUGAACUCACCAAAGAACUGGAUUCAGGAGCGUUUGCUCCCCGGCAAAAAUAGAACACCUCCCACCCCCCACCACCCAAAUGAAGGCAAAAGGCUACUAUUGUGUGGAGGCAUUCAGAGGAAGCAGGUGGAAUUUCAUCUGGAGUGAAACUCCUCCAUUGAAACAAACACCUCAUUGCCAGAUCCCAAAAGAGCACAUUAUAGGAGGUCAUUGCUGUCUGUAGGGAAGGGAGUGUCCUAGACACCAACAGACGCCUCAUAAAACUGAGAGUGAGCAGGACUGCAGCUAAAAGGCCUUCAGACACCUCACAAAAUGGUGAUUUUGGGACUGCAAACAGACAUUUCUUUCACUUCCCCACACUGCAUAUGGAGAAAGAGCGAGGAGGGGGUUUUACGUUACGCUCAGCUGAGAGCCAGAGAAGUAAACUGCCUUCCACCGGCUCAGAUUUUAUUUUCAGCAAAUGGGCGCCUUCACGUGUAGACCAAAUCCCUUCCCGCCUGGCCUCUGAGACUCUUGUUCGGGGACCUGCUCCACAGAUCCCAUUGUCUCUGUGCUCCAAAACAACAAAGAAGUGGAUUUUUGCCAAUCCUUUCUGGUACCUGGUUGUUUUGACACAGUGAACUUCAGCUUUCGACCAACGCGGAUUUCUCUGCCACUUAGGUCAUUUCAACAUGAAAUGACUCCAUUCAGCAACAGCGUGUGAGAUACCACGCAAAAUCACCACAAUCCCCGUGGACUGUUGGGAAAUGAGGAAGCAGAGAGAGGCUGCUCAAAAUGGAACAGAAACUCUAUUUAAAACAAUUUUCUGAAAAUCAGUGAUUGCAGAGGCUCUGAGCCAGGACAGCUGGGAGCAAGCCAUCGGAUCCCCCUUUUAAGACACAGCUCCCUGUUGCUGUCAGCAGACCACAUAUUUCUUAGCAUCUCUGAAGAAAUGUUAAAUCAAUAAACUACCUAGAGAUUGCUGACACGUCAGAUGCUGUUCUAUAAAAAGAUGCAGCCCAUUGCCAGAGAGAAUUUGAAGACCUGGAGAAUUUUUAGAAGGAAAAGGCCAUUUUCCAUCCACAUCCCACCCUAUAUUCUGGCCUCUGAGACAUCGUAGCCCACGUAGGGGCACGGUCAUAGGUCCUGUAGACUCAACCAAGCCUUCAAGGUGUGAGACCCCAGGGAAAACACAAAUAGAACUUGAGCUUCACAAACGCAGUGUUCCAUGUCAAUUUUGAAAAUUAUUUCUGACUGCAAAGUAAUCCCUUUUAGUUGGGUAUUGCUUUACAGUUUCCAGAGCAUUCCACACCAUCAUGUCAUUAGCUUGCCACAAAAACCCUCUGAGUCUGGCUAAGCCAGUAUUCUUAUACUUAACCCAUAGCUGAGAAAGGGGAUCAGAAAGCCCUCAGUAACUUGUUUAGAUCACAGGCUACAAAAUGGCAGAUCCAGGUCUAAAACCCAAGGCUUCUCAUUUCUAAUUUAUUUCCUUACUCUUCUGGGGAACUUAGUACCUUCAUCAAAUCCACCCAGAAUUUUCUGAUACCUCCUGUAUACUAUGUGAUAACAACUCACAUAUUCAGCCCCAAAGAACAAAAUUUUUGGUUUCUCCAACAGCUGUCUCUACUUGUAUUUCUUAAUGUAUCAACUCCUAUGUUAAUAGUUGCAUGAUUUUAUGUUUUAUCUCCAAAAUUCACUCAAUCACUUCACAAAUAUUCAUCAGACUCUUCCAUACAGUGUGUGAGACACUGACAAUAGGGACACAAAAAUAAGUAGGACAACCCCUGCCUUCACCGGUCCCACAGCCCAGAGCAGGGGUUGGCAAACAUU